AAUAAGUAGGCCAGGAAACAUUCUAUUGAACACCAACCAGGCUAAUGAACGAGAAAUAAUACACGAAAAGUGAUCAUGGCGUUGAAAGAAAUAUGGGUUCCAAUAGCAAGGGACUUUAUUAGCCGAAAAUAGACAGCGGGUUAGAGGAGAAGGGACUUUCUGGAUGUCCUACAGGACAGAAAUCUAAUUCCAUUAACUUUUGGGACAAAAUUGUGUAAAGUCAUCUUAUAUGUCCCUAUCACCCAAACAUCGGAGGAGAACGUAUCUGGUUGUCUUAAC